rnacentral:rRNA from 1 species
GCUCAAAUUUGAAAUCUCCUUUGGGCGAAUUGUAGUUUAGAGAAGCGUUUUCGGCCAGACGUUGGUACAAGUUCUUUGGAACAAGACAUCAUAGAGGGUGAAAAUCCCGUCUUUGACCAAUCGGGCGGCUUUGUGAUACGUUUUCCAAGAGUCGGUUUGUUUGGGAAUGCAGACCAAAACGGGAGGUAAAUACCUUCUAAAGCUAAAUAUUGGCGAGAGACCGAUAGCGAACAAGUACCGUGAGGGAAAGAUGAAAAGAACUUUGAAAAGAGAGUGAAACAGUACGUGAAAUUGUCAAAAGGGAAACGUUUGAAAGCAGUAUUGCGGCCAGGAUUUCAGCCUCGGUGGAUGGUCCUGGUGGCGAGUCAACAUCAGUUCGGUUGGGAGCAAAAGGCCGUGUGAAGGUAGCCCUUUGGGUAUUAUAGCGCAUGGUCGUACUCUCGACGGGACUGAGGACAGCAGCGUUUUUGGCUUUGCACACUCGCGCUUGGGAUGUUGACGAAAUGGUUUUAAGCGACCCGUCUUGAAACACGGACCAAGGAGUCUAACAUAUAUGCAAGUAUUUGGGUGGCAAACCCUUGUGCGCAAUGAAAGUGAAACGGUGGGAUCGUUGAGCACCAUCGACCGCGCCAGAUUCCGAUCUCGGCGUGAGUAGGAGCAUAGAUGCUGGGACCCGAAAGAUGGUGAACUAUGCCUGAAUAGGGUGAAGCCAGAGG